GUGGAAGAGAGGCAGUUUUUGCAAUGAAAUACACCACUGUGUACAGGGGCUGGCGGGCCACAAUAAUAUAAACAGCACAGGGCCCUGUACAAAAACCCAGAGAAGGUAAAAAGGCAAUAUAUUUUGGGAAGGAAAAGAGGUGAGUGACUGUGAUAAUUAAAGAGACAAAUAGAAUAAUCUUUUUAUAUUUCUGUUUAUCCUGGAAAGAGAACUCACAAGGUUUCUAAAAGAUUGAAGAAAGGGUGAACUUGGAAGUUCUGUACUUGAUCAAGCUAUUUGAAAUCACUGAACUGUUUAAUUGUUGUUUUUCCUUUUCCAAAUUUGGAAGACACCCUCUGGACACCCUCAAGGAGUUGCAUACAUGGAUAAUUAGGACAAAUGUAUGGCUCUUCAUCUCCUGUUUUUACAACCUUUUUGAAUAUCAUGUGGAAAGAGUGAUUUAUUGCAAUGAGUAUUAGCAGUGUGAGGAUGAUAAGCUUGUAUUUGGACCAGGGACCACCGUCACAGUUGUACCAAGCAGUCCAAAACAUUCUGUCCCACAAGUCGUUGUGAUGAAAUCAAAGAAACUGGAAGAAGGAGGCAGCACUGGGAAAGCAGCUUGUUUGGCAAGGAAUUUCAGUACAAAGAACAUCAGCUUGGAGAUGUCCUCUGAUGAGGUCGUGUAUGAACAGAGCACACCCAUUCUGGCGUCAGAGGGGCUGUACAGUGCUAUGAAGGUGGUCAGUGUGACAAAAGACACAGAGGUGACCUGCAAGGCCCAUUUGGACAUUGGCACCAUUACAGCAUUGUCAGAAAAGGAGGCUGACGAACCCGUAACGAGGACCAGUAACAGGGUUUGCAACAGCACAGACACCUCUGCCCAAGGUACCACAGUGCAGAGAGUGAACAUGCUGUCUGUGGCUGUGCUGGGUUUGAGAGUCCUGCUGGCAAAAAGCAUCGCCUUCAAUACACUCAUGAGUAUCAAGCUGUUUCUUUUCUGAGACAUGUGGAGUCAAGGCAAGAGGAACCUGAAGAACUGCAGGAAAGAACGUGAACCAGCAGCACAACGGGCUGGACAAGCAGUGUCACAUCUGCUGACAGUGAGCACCCAGAACACAACACAGCCCCUUCCCCUUUAGACAUUUGAUGCUGUUCAAUCCUGCCCAGCCAGUUCAUUUAGAUUUAAGAGCUGUAACUGCUUUUGCUAUUUCUUUUUCUCUGUGCACUGAGGAGAGUGCAUUUCUCCUCAUCCUCCUGCUGAGUAGAUCUCCCCACUGUUCUGGCAUUUACACAGGAAUGUCCAACCUGCCUCAAUAGUUGUAGAAAAGCCCAAUCCUCACUAUCGAUACAUAUAGAUAUAUAGAGAGCUAUAUAAUGUUUUAAAUCAGGUUUCACAGGCAUGUUGUGUUACUGUCUGUAGAACUGGUGUGUUACUGCAGAGACAAUUCAGGCACAAUAGUUGCCAUUUAUAGCUUUGGUUUUUAGACAGCUUUAUUAACAAUAAUUUCCUAUCAUGCCUGAGCAGUGAUCCAAUUCAAACAGAUAAUGUUCAACCAUAGAAACAUUUCUUUCUUAAACCUGUAUUUCUUCUGCAAAAUAUAUCCCACAUGCAUUUUAGUUUCCUGUAGUAGUGACAAAAAUAAAAUUUUCCUUGACCAAAAUGCUGUGGUUUGU
rnacentral:lncRNA from 1 species